GGUGCCUUGGAUACAACAGAAAUUUCAACCAGAGGUUUUCUGUAAAGAAAACGAAAAGGACACCAUGUGUGUUGUGAUCUUUGUGUCAGAAGACCCAUGGAGCAUGCUUCCUACAGUGUGCUGAUGCUGAACAGCCAGUAUGAUUUGGUUUCUGCUUCUCAUGCAUCGAGACAGGAAGAGUUGGUCCUGUGAAGAAACCUGUGGUGAGGAAGACAAAACCACAGUCAACAUGAAUUCCAAGUGGUAACACUUAGUGUCCUGGGAUGGAGUGCUGAGAGAAAUCCGGAGGAUUCAGAGAAGAUGACCAAAAAGGACUACUUCACAGGGCUCCCAUGUGCUCAGCUUGCAAUUGGAUUCAGCCACCAGAGAUCCCUGGCAAGAGAAUAAAGAGAGAAAACAAAGUGGUGAGUGAACACUAACUCUGCAAGUGGACCACCUAAGAAAGCACAUUGAGACCCAUCAAGGGAGUGAGGCAACAUGAAGAAAAGAGAAGAGCAAAACCGGGCAGCCACUCACCCAGGACUUUUACGGAACCAGGAGAAGCUCUCUAACAUGGAGAAAGAGUGUGAAAGUGAGAGCCCUCAGAAAAUUCAUACCUCUCACAGGAACCUGUGCAAUCCUGGGAAGAGGAGAACACCUCGCCCCAGCCACCCCCG
rnacentral:lncRNA from 10 species